ACUAACAAGGAAUUCCCCUAGUAGCGGCGAGCGAAGCGGGAAGAGCUCAAAUUUAUAAUCUGGCACCUUCGGUGUCCGAGUUGUAAUCUCUAGAAGUGUUUUCCGCGUUGGACCGCACACAAGUCUGUUGGAAUACAGCGGCAUAGUGGUGAAACCCCCGUAUAUGGUGCGGACGCCCAGCGCUUUGUGAUACACUUUCAAUGAGUCGAGUUGUUUGGGAAUGCAGCUCAAAUUGGGUGGUAAAUUCCAUCUAAAGCUAAAUAUUGGCGAGAGACCGAUAGCGAACAAGUACCGUGAGGGAAAGAUGAAAAGCACUUUGGAAAGAGAGUUAACAGUACGUGAAAUUGUUGGAAGGGAAACGCUUGAAGUCAGACUUGCUUGCCGGAGCUUGCUUCGGUUUGCAGGCCAGCAUCAGUUUUCCGGGGUGGAUAAUGACGGUUUGAAGGUAGCAGUCUCGGCUGUGUUAUAGCUUUCCGUUGGAUACGCCCUGGGGGACUGAGGAACGCAGCGUGCUUUUUGCGAAAGACUCGUCUUUUUCACGCUUAGGAUGCUGGUGGAAUGGCUUAAC
rnacentral:rRNA from 1 species